rnacentral:rRNA from 1 species
AACGAACGCUGGCGGCAGGCCUAACACAUGCAAGUCGAACGCCCCGCAAGGGGAGUGGCAGACGGGUGAGUAACGCGUGGGAAUAUACCCUUCAGUUCGGAAUAGCUCUGGGAAACUGGAAUUAAUACCGGAUACGUCCUACGGGAGAAAGAUUUAUCGCUGAAGGAUUAGCCCGCGUCGGAUUAGCUAGUUGGUGAGGUAACGGCUCACCAAGGCGAUGAUCCGUAGCUGGUCUGAGAGGACGACCAGCCACACUGGGACUGAGACACGGCCCAGACUCCGACGGGAGGCAGCAGUGGGGAAUCUUGGACAAUGGGCGCAAGCCUGAUCCAGCCAUGCCGCGUGAGUGAAGAAGGCCUUAGGGUUGUAAAGCUCUUUCGCCGACGAAGAUAAUGACGGUAGUCGGAGAAGAAGCCCCGGCUAACUUCGUGCCAGCAGCCGCGGUAACAC